UACGUAGGGUGCGAGCGUUAAUCGGAAUUACUGGGCGUAAAGCGUGCGCAGGCGGUUUUGUAAGCCAGAUGUGAAAUCCCCGGGCUUAACCUGGGAAUGGCAUUUGUGACUGCAUGGCUAGAGUUUGGCAGAGGGGGGUAGAAUUCCACGUGUAGCAGUGAAAUGCGUAGAUAUGUGGAGGAACACCGAUGGCGAAGGCAGCCCCCUGGGUCAAGACUGACGCUCAUGCACGAAAGCGUGGGGAGCAAACAGG
rnacentral:rRNA from 1 species